AGUGGGGAAUAUUGCGCAAUGGGCGGAAGCCUGACGCAGCGACGCCGCGUGGGGGAUGACGGCCUUCGGGUUGUAAACCUCUUUCAGCAGGGACGAAGCGCAAGUGACGGUACCUGCAGAAGAAGCACCGGCCAACUACGUGCCAGCAGCCGCGGUAAUACGUAGGGUGCAAGCGUUGUCCGGAAUUAUUGGGCGUAAAGAGCUCGUAGGCGGUUUGUUGCGUCGGCUGUGAAAUCCCGAGGCUCAACCUCGGGUCUGCAGUCGAUACGAGCAAACUAGAGUGUUGCAGGGGAGACUGGAAUUCCUGGUGUAGCGGUGAAAUGCGCAGAUAUCAGGAGGAACACCGGUGGCGAAGGCGGGUCUCUGGGCAACAACUGACGCUGAGGAGCGAAAGCGUGGGGAGCGAA
rnacentral:rRNA from 1 species